rnacentral:rRNA from 1 species
CCUACGGGUGGCUGCAGUGGGGAAUAUUGGACAAUGGGGGGAACCCUGAUCCAGCCAUGCCGCGUGUGUGAAGAAGGCCCUCGGGUUGUAAAGCACUUUCAGUGAGGAAGAACGCCUGGUGGUUAAUACCCAUCAGGAAAGACAUCACUCACAGAAGAAGCACUGGCUAACUCCGUGCCAGCAGCCGCGGUAAUACGGAGGGUGCGAGCGUUAAUCGGAAUUACUGGGCGUAAAGCGCGCGUAGGUGGCUUGAUAAGCCGGUUGUGAAAGCCCCGGGCUCAACCUGGGAACGGCAUCCGGAACUGUCAAGCUAGAGUGCAGGAGAGGAAGGUAGAAUUCCCGGUGUAGCGGUGAAAUGCGUAGAGAUCGGGAGGAAUACCAGUGGCGAAGGCGGCCUUCUGGACCGACACUGACACUGAGGUGCGAAAGCGUGGGUAGCAAACAGGAUAGAUACCCGUGUAGUC